rnacentral:rRNA from 1 species
CAUUAGUUUUUUAAUUGAAAGCUUGUAUGAAGGGUUGAAUGAAAAAUAAGCUGUCUCAUUUAUAAAAAUUGAAUUUAACUUUUAAGUGAAAAGGCUUAAGUAAUAGAAAGGGACGAUAAGACCCUAUAAAACUUUAUAUAAAAUAAAUUAUUUAUUAUAAUUAUUUGUUUAAUAAUGAAUAAUAUAUUAAUAUUUUAUUGGGGCGAUAAGAAUAUAGACUAGAUAACUGUUCUUUAAUUGUAACAAAUAUAAUUGAUUUAUAUGAUCCUAAAUAAAGAUUAAAAGGUAAAGUUACUUUAGGGAUAACAGCGUAAUUUUUUUUAAGAGUUCUUAUCGACAAAAAAGAUUGCGA